rnacentral:lncRNA from 10 species
GCGAGAGGAGGAAGCGGGCGGAAGCCGGUGGCUCUCGCGAGUUUACUGAGAGCCCCCGUCAGGCUCGAAUGGGGGUGGUUCUUAAAGAGAGAGGACCGGGGUCGUCGUCUUUUCAGUCCAUUCUCCUUGAAUAGGGUGGACAUCUGAGGCUUUGCGACUCGAAGCUAGGCACUUGGGCCCGACGCGCGGUUUGAACGGUGCUUGAGAAGCCGCGAAGAAGCGCCUCGCGCUCAGCGGCUUCUUCGCUGACGAAGUGCUGCGGUCUGCGUGCGUCAUGGCUGCACGGAAUAGUGUGGAGGAGUCCUGGCCAGUAGGUCUGGAUGAGGAACCUGCCUCCGGGCGGUCCGGGACCCUCACCUGCAGGGGCGAAAGAGGCCUGUUUUCUCUCGCCCCAGAGCUAGGACGGGCUCACUUUGGACUUAGAACUUUAUGGGGUGGAAGACAGCGGGGGCUGCCUGAGCUUGGAGACCUGAGGUAUCUGGUCCCAUGUAUGAUUUGGCCUGAGCCGUUGAGAAUGGGGGUGGAGAGAGUUGAAACAAAAUGGGCAUCCACAUACGGUUAGAACUUUAUCUUUUUGAGUUAGGAUUUUUAGGUGGCUACUUUGUCCCCCCUCACCUCGUCUGGGUUCAAAUAUUGAGCCCAGACCGUGUGCUGGACCCUGUUUUCCUGGGGAUACAGAGGUGAACCAAACAGAUGACAGUACUUACCCUUAUGGAGCUUAUAGUCGAUUGGGUUUUUAAGUUUGUGAUUUUAUACUUUUUGUAAUAAAAUAAUUACACAAAUGCUUAAGUACUUCAGGGUGCUCUGAGAGUGUAUGGCGGGGACCCAGCUCUGAAAUGAGACCCAAAGGAUGAUUAAGAGUUUGUCAGGAGGAAACAGAAUACAGUUGAGAACUACAGAAACGCCAGUGUGCUGGCACAAGGUCAGGGACGGGGAGAGUGGUUUGAGGGAGCAGCAGGGGAAGAGGUCAUGUAGGGUCUUUUAAGCCAGAUUCAGAAGUUUGGUUUCUUUCAAGAACAGUGGGUAGUUUAAAGGGUUUAGAGCCCUGGUGUGGACUGGAGAGAGUACAGGAGAAGCCCAGAGACCAUUUUGGCUGCUUCAUUAUCAUGUGAGAGAUGAUUUUCGCUUACAUUAGGGUGGUGACAGUGCAGAUAGAAGUGAAUGAAGGGCCUGGUGCAGUGGCCCACGGCUGUAAUCCCAGCACUUUGGGAGGCCAAAGGGGAGGAUCGCUUGAGCCCAGGAGUUUGCGAGCAGCCUGGGCAACAUGGCAAGAUUCCGUCUCUACAAAAUUACAAAAUAUUAGCCUGGUGUGGUGGCCCGCGCCUGUAGUCCCAGCUGCUUGG